UUACGGCCACAUCACGGUGAAACAUUGGUUCCCAUACGAUCAUCGAAGUUAGGCAACGUCGAGAUUUGUCAUUACUUCGAUGGGUGACCGCUUGUGAAUGCCAGGUGCUAUAA